CUGAGGUAUGGCCCAGGUGGCGGCAGGCUAGGUGCGCCCCCAUGGCUGCUGUCGCCACCGAUUGCUGUGGCAGCCGG